rnacentral:rRNA from 1 species
UACGGGGGGAGCAAGCGUUGUUCGGAUUUACUGGGCGUAAAGGGCGCGUAGGCGGUCAGCACAAGUCAGUUGUGAAAUCUCCGGGCUUAACUCGGAAAGGUCAACUGAUACUGUGCGACUAGAGUGCAGAAGGGCAACUGGAAUUCUCGGUGUAGCGGUGAAAUGCGCAGAUAUCAGGAAGAACACCCGUGGCGAAGGCGGGUCUCUGGACAGUUCCUGACGCUGAGGCGCGAAGGCCAGGGGAGCAAACGGG